CACGCCCUAAACGAUGUCUACUAGUUGUUGGUGGAGUAAAAUCCAUGAGUAACGCAGCUAACGCGUGAAGUAGACCGCCUGGGGAGUACGGUCGCAAGAUUAAAACUCAAAUGAAUUGACGGGGGCCCGCACAAGCGGUGGAUUAUGUGGAUUAAUUCGAUGCAACGCGAAAAACCUUACCUGGCCUUGACAUGUACGGAACUUUCCAGAGAUGGAUUGGUGCUCGAAAGAGAACCGUAACACAGGUGC
rnacentral:rRNA from 1 species